rnacentral:lncRNA from 1 species
GGGAUUACAGGCAUGAGCCACCAUGCCUGGCCUAGUUAUGGCUAUUAUAAAAUAGAUAUUGAGGAUUUAGAUAUUUUACUUCCCCUUCAGCAUUUGGUAUUCAUUGUUCUAUCGCAGUUUUUAUUUAAAUCAAUAUUUAGUAAUUAUAUCAUCUUAACUAUGUAUAUAUGAUUCAUAGCCACAUCAUGUGAAACAUUCUGAUUAUAUUUCAUUUCUUAUACAAUGUCUUGUUUUCCCUGGAGUUAAUAUUGACCGUCCUUUUUGUUUGUUUACUGAGUAUUUAUCUAUACAUCUUUGCAACAGAGACUGAUAAAUGUCACCUGUUAUCACCCGUCUCUCCUUCCAAAGAAAGAGAACUCCCAACUUUUAACCUGGCACAUGAUUACCCAAAAUGAAGACUCCAUAUAUCAGCCAUGGCCAAGUUUCUGACCAAUGAGAUAAAUAAAACAGACACGACUGGAUGUGAAACAGUCAUUUGGACCAUGAAGUGACCUUGGAAAAGGAAGCCAGGACUGGUGUCCAUAUAAGAAGAUAGCCCUGUGAAGACACAGACUCAGAGAGAAUUCUAAUAUGGAGAUGGAAACAAAAUCUGUAGUCAUGCUGCUCCAAGCUAAGGAAUACCUGGGGCUACCAGAAGCUCGAAGAAGCAGGAGAAGUUCCUCCCUAGAGGCUUCAGAGAACAUGACAUCUGACACAUUGAUUUCAGUUGGCUGACCUUCAAAGCGAUGAGAUAAUGUUGCUGUGUUUAUGUUGGAAAGGAAAGAUUCUGCCAAUACCAGAGAGGCUAGACUGAACAACCAACAGGAAACGUAUUAUAACAAGGUAGAUAAAGUAUGGAAGCAUUUGCACAAAAGUGAAGACUAGAAUGGCAAAGAAGAGAUGGAUUCAAGAAGCCCUAUGAAGGUAACAGUCUGGAUCGGUGAAAAAGGUUGAGGCAAGCGAGGAAGAAACUGAGGAAGAUUCUGAGGUUGCUGACUCGAUAAUUAAUGGAUAGUAAAUGCAAGUGAAGAGAGCAUUUUAUAAAUUACACAUUCAUAGUAAACUAUUAAAUUUAGUAUACAGCACAAUGUAAGUGCAACUUUAAAAGAAAACUGAAACAUGCUUAUUAGAUAUGUUAGAGAAAUUGAUGUUACUUUUAUGAGCUACUGGAGAGAAACUUUCAGUUUUAAAUAGCUUAGUUCUCAGUAGACAUUCAUUGUUUCCUGAAUGAGGGAAAUGGUACAAUUUAUUCAUUCGGCUAUGGGCAUGCAAAAUGUUAAGUUGGUGACAAUUUGUAUCUUCGUGGGUAUUUUUAACUUACUUAGCAAGCAGAUUAAGGGAAUAAAUUAUUAGGCAAAACUUGUAACAUUUACACAGAAAAUUUCAAUUGUCUGUAAGUGGAUUUUUGCUAUAUACCAGGUACAUUAUGAUUAGUCACCUCUUUGAAAGGUAAACAUUUAAGUAAUGAGAAAGAAUUUUUAAAAUGCUUCAACAUGAAAUGAAUGAGAAUGCCAACUACAUCAUAAAAUCCAGAAUUUUAACAAUACAAUCCAAAGCCAAAUAACAGUCAGGAUUCAGGCCUACCUCAAAAAUGCAAAGGAUAUAAAUGCAGGGAAAGCAAAGGAGGGCUAAUUUUGGCCAAGUUGGCUAUAUUUCCCUGGAAUGAAGUUAGCUACUUGAACAUUUUUAUAAAAAGAUGUUUUACAUGACUUGUAAAGCAACAUCUGUUCCUAAAGGCACUUUUAUAGGAUAAGUCUUAAUGAAAUUAUUUUUCAUUGAGGGCUAGUUUAGAUUCUACUGUAAGAAAGACCUGAAUGAUGCACUAGGGCAGUUUUAUGGAGUUGUCUUCCCCUGACUACAUCCCCCCACUCACUCCAUAUUUCUCCCUCUAGCUGAAAGCUGUAAACAUUUUAGGGCUUUGUGAUAGUCCCAGAACAAAACAGAACAUAUGUAGUAUAUUUUCAUAUGAGAAGAAAAAAAACCCAAACCCAUGAGGUCCUAAUUUCUAAAGUAUGCCUUCUGCCCAAAAUGCACCCUUGAUGGUGCCUCGAAAGUGUUGCAAAUCACUUAACACAAAUUAUUCAGAUUUAGAUGAAUCUGAAGCCCCAUCAGAAGAAUAUUAGUGGACUAUUUCACAUGGAGCCCAAUUAUAUGAUUUCUAUAUCAUUCCCUGACUACCCACUAAAAUUUUGCUGAUAUUAGCCUAUCCAAAAUGCCUUUCCAGGAUUUAAGUACCAAUAGUGUCUAUUACAAAAUUCAUCCGUGGUUUCUGUCAGAUUUCAGUUAAAUGCACAACAGGGAGAAAAAGCUGCUAGAAAACUGCAGAUUCCAUGGAUAAAGAAACAAAGAGAUGUAUUGUGUAUUGCUCUCAUAUUCUUGCAACCAGCACCUGAGUUAUCUGAUGACUGCUUCAUAACUGAAGGCUGCUGCAAUAUCCCUUUUGAAAAGUUGCACAAUAGCCCAAGUUUAAAAGAGAUCAACAUUUUACAUAUGAAGCCGGUACAGAGGGCCAUAACGUUCUCUCUCUCUUCCCCAUCCCCCCAGCCCCCUUUUUACUGUGCCCUUUGCAGAAUGUGUGGAGCCUCCUUUAUCAGGCCAAGAGAGAAGAAGCUUCUGCAUAAACAGAAGUGAUUGGAUUCUACCCUAAAAACGAAAAACCCAUUGAACAAUUAAGGAAGAAAUAUAAGGGGGAAUUUUUUUCCCUUGUGUUAAUGUCAAUAUUAACAUACCGCUAUAGGUUGAAAUACUUUUUUUUUUUUUUGAGACAAAGUUUCACUCUUGUUGCCCAGGCUGGAGUGCAAUGGCACAAUCUUCACUCACUACAACCUCUGCCCCCUGGGUUCAACCAAUUCUCCUGCCUCAGCCUCCCAGGUAGCUGGCAUUAUAGGCACCCACCACCAUGCCUAGCUAAUUUUUGGUAUUUUUAGUAGAGAUGGGGUUUCACCAUGUUGCCCAGGCUGGUCUCGAACUCCAGACCUCAGGUGAUCCACCUGCCUUGGCCUCCCAAAGUACUGGGAUUACAGGCAUGAGCCACUGAGCCCAGCCAAUAUACUUUUAAAACCCUAUUAAUUUGUAAAUUUUUAAGUGUGUACCAUUGAGAAAGAAAAGAAAAAGAAAUCUUUAGCAAGUUGGCAAAAUAGGCAGAAAGAAUAAGCAAUAGAAUAUAGGGACACAAUUCACUAUUUGAAUUUUAAUACUCUUAUGCUUUCAUAUGUGUUUAUAUAUGCAUAUAAUGCCUGUUGACUGAUUUUUUCUUCUUUUUUUAUAUACCUUGGUCACUG